rnacentral:rRNA from 1 species
CAAGUCGAGCGGGCCUUUCGGGGUCAGCGGCGGACGGGUGAGUAACGCGUGGGAACGUGCCCUCUGGUUCGGAAUAACUCAGGGAAACUUGAGCUAAUACCGGAUACGCCCUUUUGGGGAAAGGCUUGCUGCCGGAGGAUCGGCCCGCGUCUGAUUAGCUAGUUGGUGAGGUAACGGCUCACCAAGGCGACGAUCAGUAGCUGGUCUGAGAGGAUGAUCAGCCACACUGGGACUGAGACACGGCCCAGACUCCUACGGGAGGCAGCAGUGGGGAAUAUUGGACAAUGGGCGCAAGCCUGAUCCAGCCAUGCCGCGUGAGUGAUGAAGGCCUUAGGGUUGUAAAGCUCUUUUAUCCGGGACGAUAAUGACGGUACCGGAGGAAUAAGCCCCGGCUAACUUCGUGCCAGCAGCCGCGGUAAUACGAAGGGGGCUAGCGUUGCUCGGAAUCACUGGGCGUAAAGGGCGCGUAGGCGGCGUUUUAAGUCGGGGGUGAAAGCCUGUGGCUCAACCACAGAAUGGCCUUCGAUACUGGGACGCUUGAGUAUGGUAGAGGUUGGUGGAACUGCGAGUGUAGAGGUGAAAUUCGUAGAUAUUCGCAAGAACACCGGUGGCGAAGGCGGCCAACUGGA